AUAGUAACACAACAGAUAAGAUACAUAUAGAGAUAAU
rnacentral:guide_RNA from 1 species